UAGGGAAUCUUCGGCAAUGGGGGGAACCCUGACCGAGCAACGCCGCGUGAGUGAAGAAGGUUUUCGGAUCGUAAAGCUCUGUUGUUAAGGAAGAACGAGUGUGAGAAUGGAAAGUUCAUGCUGUUACGGUACUUAACCAGAAAGGGACGGCUAACUACGUGCCCGCAGCCGCGGUAAUAUGUAGGUCCCGAGCGUUGUCCGGAGUUAUUGGGCGUAAAGCGAGCGCAGGCGGUUAGAAAAGUCUGAAGUGAAAGGCAGUGGCUCAAACGGGGAGGAUCAUUGGAAACUGGUUGACUUGAGUGCAGAAGAGGGGAGUAGAAUUCCAUGUGUAGCGGUGAAAUGCGUGGAUAUAUGGAGGAACACCAGUGGCGAAGGCGACUCUCUGGUCUGUAACUGACGCUGAGGCUCGAAAGCGUGGGUAGCAAACAGG
rnacentral:rRNA from 1 species